GGUGAGCCUCACUGGGGCUAUGCCAAGGAAGACUGAGUCCUCUGAUAUAUGGAGAGCCAAUCCAGGGCACGGCAACAUAACAUCUCCAAGGCAAAAUGCAGCAGCAAGAUCUUCAGCCCUUGAGAAGUGCUCAUCUCCUCUCUGUGAAAUCCUUCUCAGAUUCAGCAGGUCAUCACACUUCCUUCAGCUGCCCUGUCUCAAGGCUAUCUUCCCCAAAGGCAUCCAGUCAUCGUGCAGAAACAGAGACCAAGAGCAGAGUUUGCUGCAGUCAUUAGUCACUUCUGUUGCUUUGGGGUAUGGAUGAAAUAUGUCAAAAAGAAACAUGGGAAGCAAGUACCAACCUCCCACCAGUUGCAGCAAAGCGAGAGCUGGACUCAGCAAAGUUGAAUGGAAAGUGAAGUAAACGGGCAAAAUCUCCCACACUAUAUCUAAUCCAAUUUUCUCAGAGAUGAGCUCAGAACAAAAUGGUGUUGUGGGGAAAUAUAGGUUGGUGUUGUUGAUAAAAACAUCAGUUUAACACUUAGAAAUACUCCUGUACCCACCCAGGAGAAAAGAUAAAGGCUUAAACCUUGCCCAUCCUUGUGACACUACAUAAAACCACAGUUUUGAAUCAUUCUGGCUCCCUUUCCCGUCCCAAAGUGGAUAUGUGGUGAUAAGAAUGGGUACAGAAGAGGCCAAAGAGGAGACAUAGCAAAGCUGCAAAGUCGAGGAAUCAUAGAAUCAU